CUGCCUUGCCAUCAAGACCUUCUGCAACAUCACUAAUAAUAAUAAUAUUAUAGAGAAUGGGUCCAAGAACAGAUCCCUGAGGUUCCCCACUGGUGACAAGCCCAUGCUUCGAAUAUACUCUAUUGACUACAACCCUCUGCUGCCUGUCACUCAGCCACUGCCUUACCCAUUCAACAAUAUUGGACUAGCACUUCCCCCUAACUUGUGCUGGUGCUGUGAAGGGCUGUGCGCAAACCAAACCCCGGUGUGCUCUCAUUCCUUGAAAAUGGAUGUGCAUGCACACAAGUGAAC